UAUUAAAAAUUUCAUCUAUUUGUAUUGUUAAAAUCUGACGAUGAAAUAAUUAAACAGUGACACGUGAUAUGUCAUGUGUAACUUUUAUUGACAUACAAUCAUCGAUUUUUAAAGGUCAAAAUAAAUGAAAUUUUUAAAA
rfam:Gossypium hirsutum cultivar TM-1 chromosome 25, whole genome shotgun sequence